AGUAAAAUGCCUGAUAAAAGGAUUAUUUUGAUAUAAUAAAAAUGUGAGCUUAAUUAUAAUCACUUUUACUA
rnacentral:tRNA from 1 species